GGCUAGGAUAUGGGUCUUUGGGGAGCCUGGUCUUUAGCUUGGACCAAUGCAAAUACACUUGGAGAUGAGCCUUCAAGAUAAAUGAAAGAAAAAGUCAAAAAAGCACAAAGAGCGGGAGGACUGAGAUCUUGUCAUGAAGCGGAGCAAAGGAGUGGAGCAUGAUGGACUGCAGAGAUAGGCUGUAAAACUAAGCUUGACUGCGUAUCCGGGUGUUUUCUUGAGCGACGCAUUGUUCAUUGAAAGUGAAAUGCUGAUUCUAAUUGAGAGAACCACACAGGAGCACGUUCAAAUAGCUCAUUUGGAGCCUGUGUCAUCGCUUACGGCCAUACCACCCUGAACACGCCCGAUCUCGUCCGAUCUCGGAAGCUAAGCAGGGUCGGGCCUGGUUAGUACUUGGAUGGGAGACCGCCUGGGAAUACCAGGUGCUGUAAGCUUUUCUUUUCUUGUAUCUUGUGCCGUGUUCUCUCUCCAAGAGGCUAGGAUAUGGGUCUUUGGGGAGCCUGGUCUUUUGCUUGGACCAAUGCAAAUACACUUGGAGAUGAGCCUUCAAGAUAAAAUGAAAGAAAGAGUCAAAAAGCACAAAGAGCGGGAGGACUGAGAUCUUGUCAUGAAGCGGAGCAAAGGAGUGGAGCAUGAUGGACUGCAGAGAUAGGCUGUAAAACUAAGCUUGACUGCGUAUCCGGGUGUUUUCUUGAGCGACGCAUUGUUCAUUGAAAGUGAAAUGCUGAUUCUAAUUGAGAGAACCACACAGGAGCACGUUCAAAUAGCUCAUUUGGAGCCUGUGUCAUCGCUUACGGCCAUACCACCCUGAACACGCCCGAUCUCGUCCGAUCUCGGAAGCUAAGCAGGGUCGGGCCUGGUUAGUACUUGGAUGGGAGACCGCCUGGGAAUACCAGGUGCUGUAAGCUUUUCUUUUCUUGUAUCUUGUGCCGUGUUCUCUCUCCAAGAGGCUAGGAUAUGGGUCUUUGGGGAGCCUGGUCUUUAGCUUGGACCAAUGCAAAUACACUUGGAGAUGAGCCUUCAAGAUAAAUGAAAGAAAAGUCAAAAAGCACAAAGAGCGGGAGGACUGAGAUCUUGUCAUGAAGCGGAGCAAAGGAGUGGAGCAUGAUGGACUGCAGAGAUAGGCUGUAAAACUAAGCUUGACUGCGUAUCCGGGUGUUUUCUUGAGCGACGCAUUGUUCAUUGAAAGUGAAAUGCUGAUUCUAAUUGAGAGAACCACACAGGAGCACGUUCAAAUAGCUCAUUUGGAGCCUGUGUCAUCGCUUACGGCCAUACCACCCUGAACACGCCCGAUCUCGUCCGAUCUCGGAAGCUAAGCAGGGUCGGGCCUGGUUAGUACUUGGAUGGGAGACCGCCUGGGAAUACCAGGUGCUGUAAGCUUUUUCUUUUCUUGUAUCUUGUGCCGUGUUCUCUCUCCAAGAGGCUAGGAUAUGGGUCUUUGGGGAGCCUGGUCUUUAGCUUGGACCAAUGCAAAUACACUUGGAGAUGAGCCUUCAAGAUAAAUGAAAGAAAAAGUCAAAAAGCACAAAGAGCGGGAGGACUGAGAUCUUGUCAUGAAGUGGAGCAAAGGAGUGGAGCAUGAUGGACUGCAGAGAUAGGCUGUAAAACUAAGCUUGACUGCGUAUCCGGGUGUUUUCUUGAGCGACGCAUUGUUCAUUGAAAGUGAAAUGCUGAUUCUAAUUGAGAGAACCACACAGGAGCACGUUCAAAUAGCUCAUUUGGAGCCUGUGUCAUCGCUUACGGCCAUACCACCCUGAACACGCCCGAUCUCGUCCGAUCUCGGAAGCUAAGCAGGGUCGGGCCUGGUUAGUACUUGGAUGGGAGACCGCCUGGGAAUACCAGGUGCUGUAAGCUUUUCUUUUCUUGUAUCUUGUGCCGUGUUCUCUCUCCAAGAGGCUAGGAUAUGGGUCUUUGGGGAGCCUGGUCUUUAGCUUGGACCAAUGCAAAUGCACUUGGAGAUGAGCCUUCAAGAUAAAUGAAAGAAAAGUCAAAAAGCACAAAGAGCGGGAGGACUGAGAUCUUGUCAUGAAGUGGAGCAAAGGAGUGGAGCAUGAUGGACUGCAGAGAUAGGCUGUAAAACUAAGCUUGACUGCGUAUCCGGGUGUUUUCUUGAGCGACGCAUUGUUCAUUGAAAGUGAAAUGCUGAUUCUAAUUGAGAGAACCACACAGGAGCAUGUUCAAAUAGCUCAUUUGGAGCCUGUGUCAUCGCUUACGGCCAUACCACCCUGAACACGCCCGAUCUCGUCCGAUCUCGGAAGCUAAGCAGGGUCGGGCCUGGUUAGUACUUGGAUGGGAGACCGCCUGGGAAUACCAGGUGCUGUAAGCUUUUCUCUUCUUUUCUUGCAUCUUGUGCCGUGUUCUCUCUCCAAGAGGCUAGGAUAUGGGUCUUUGGGGAGCCUGGUCUUUAGCUUGGACCAAUGCAAAUACACUUGGAGAUGAGCCUUCAAGAUAAAUGAAAGAAAAAGUCAAAAAGCACAAAGAGCGGGAGGACUGAGAUCUUGUCAUGAAGCGGAGCAAAGGAGUGGAGCAUGAUGGACUGCAGAGAUAGGCUGUAAAACUAAGCUUGACUGCGUAUCCGGGUGUUUUCUUGAGCGACGCAUUGUUCACUUGAAAGUGAAAUGCUGAUUCUAAUUGAGAGAACCACACAGGAGCAUGUUCAAAUAGCUCAUUUGGAGCCUGUGUCAUCGCUUACGGCCAUACCACCCUGAACACGCCCGAUCUCGUCCGAUCUCGGAAGCUAAGCAGGGUCGGGCCUGGUUAGUACUUGGAUGGGAGACCGCCUGGGAAUACCAGGUGCUGUAAGCUUUUCUCUUUUUUCUUGCAUCUUGUGCCGUGUUCUCUCUCCAAGAGGCUAGGAUAUGGGUCUUUGGGGAGCCUGGUCUUUUGCUUGGACAAAUGCAAGUACACUUGGAGAUGAGCCUGAACAAGAAAAUGAAAGAAAAGUCAAAAAGCACAAAGAGCGGGAGGACUGAGAUCUUGUCAUGAAGUGGAGCAAAGGAGUGGAGCAUGAUGGACUGCAGAGAUAGGCUGUAAAACUAAGCUUGACUGCGUAUCCGGGUGUUUUCUUGAGCGACGCAUUGUUCACUGAAAGUGAAAUGCUGAUUCUAAUUGAGAGAAGCACACAGGAGCAUGUUCAAAUAGCUCAUUUGGAGCCUGUGUCAUCGCUUACGGCCAUACCACCCUGAACACGCCCGAUCUCGUCCGAUCUCGGAAGCUAAGCAGGGUCGGGCCUGGUUAGUACUUGGAUGGGAGACCGCCUGGGAAUACCAGGUGCUGUAAGCUUUUCUUUUCUUGCAUCUUUUGCCGUGUUCUCUCUCCAAGAGGCUAGGAUAUCGGUCUUUGGGGAGCCUGGUCUUUUGCUUGGACCAAUGCAAGUGCACUUGGAGAUGAGCCUUCACAUAAAAUGAAAGAAAAAGUCAAAAAGCACAAAGAGCGGGAGGACUGAGAUGAUCUUGUCCUGAAGUGGAGCAAAGGAGUGGAGCAUGAUGGACUGCAGAGAUAGGCUGUAAAACUAAGCUUGACUGCGUAUCCGGGUGUUUUCUUGAGCGACGCAUUGUUCACUGAAAGUGAAAUGCUGAUUCUAAUUGAGAGAAGCACACAGGAGCAUGUUCAAAUAGCUCAUUUGGAGCCUGUGUCAUCGCUUACGGCCAUACCACCCUGAACACGCCCGAUCUCGUCCGAUCUCGGAAGCUAAGCAGGGUCGGGCCUGGUUAGUACUUGGAUGGGAGACCGCCUGGGAAUACCAGGUGCUGUAAGCUUUUCUUUUCUUGUAUCUUGUGCCGUGUUCUCUCUCCAAGAGGCUAGGAUAUGGGUCUUUGGGGAGCCUGGUCUUUUGCUUGGACCAAUGCAAAUGCACUUGGAGAUUAGGCUGAAGAUAAAAUGAAAGAAAAAGUCAAAAAGCACAAAGAGCGGGAGGACUGAGAUCUUGUCAUGAAGUGGAGCAAAGGAGUGGAGCAUGAUGGACUGCAGAGAUAGGCUGUAAAACUAAGCUUGACUGCGUAUCCGGGUGUUUUCUUGAGCGCCGCAUUGUUCAUUGAAAGUGAAAUGCUGAUUCUAAUUGAGAGAAGCACACAGGAGCAUGUUCAAAUAGCUCAUUUGGAGCCUGUGUCAUCGCUUACGGCCAUACCACCCUGAACACGCCCGAUCUCGUCCGAUCUCGGAAGCUAAGCAGGGUCGGGCCUGGUUAGUACUUGGAUGGGAGACCGCCUGGGAAUACCAGGUGCUGUAAGCUUUUCUUUUCUUGUAUCUUGUGCCGUGUUCUCUCUCCAAGAGGCUAGGAUAUGGGUCUUUGGGGAGCCUGGUCUUUAGCUUGGACAAAUGCAAGUGCACUUGGAGAUGAGCCUGAAGAUAAAAUGAAAGAAAAAGUCAAAAAGCACAAAGAGCGGGAGGACUGAGAUCUUGUCCUAAAGUGGAGCAAAGGAGUGGAGCAUGAUGGACUGCAGAGAUAGGCUGUAAAACUAAGCUUGACUGCGUAUCCGGGUGUUUUCUUGAGCGACGCAUUGUUCACUGAAAGUGAAAUGCUGAUUCUAAUUGAGAGAAGCACACAGGAGCAUGUUCAAAUAGCUCAUUUGGAGCCUGUGUCAUCGCUUACGGCCAUACCACCCUGAACACGCCCGAUCUCGUCCGAUCUCGGAAGCUAAGCAGGGUCGGGCCUGGUUAGUACUUGGAUGGGAGACCGCCUGGGAAUACCAGGUGCUGUAAGCUUUUCUCUUUUUUCUUGCAUCUUUUUGCCGUGUUCUCUCUCCAAGAGGCUAGGAUAUGGGUCUUUGGGGAGCCUGGUCUUUUGCUUGGACCAAUGCAAAUACACUUGGAGAUGAGCCUUCAAGAUAAAAUGAAAGAAAAAGUCAAAAAGCACAAAGAGCGGGAGGACUGAGAUCUUGUCCUAAAGCGGAGCAAAGGAGUGGAGCAUGAUGGACUGCAGAGAUAGGCUGUAAAACUAAGCUUGACUGCGUAUCCGGGUGUUUUCUUGAGCGACGCAUUGUUCACUGAAAGUGAAAUGCUGAUUCUAAUUGAGAGAACCACACAGGAGCAUGUUCAAAUAGCUCAUUUGGAGCCUGUGUCAUCGCUUACGGCCAUACCACCCUGAACACGCCCGAUCUCGUCCGAUCUCGGAAGCUAAGCAGGGUCGGGCCUGGUUAGUACUUGGAUGGGAGACCGCCUGGGAAUACCAGGUGCUGUAAGCUUUUCUUUUCUUGUAUCUUGUGCCGUGUUCUCUCUCCAAGAGGCUAGGAUAUGGGUCUUUGGGGAGCCUGGUCUUUUGCUUGGACAAAUGCAAGUACACUUGGAGAUUAGGCUGAAGAUAAAUGAAAGAAAAAGUCAAAAAGCACAAAGAGCGGGAGGACUGAGAUCUUGUCCUAAAGUGGAGCAAAGGAGUGGAGCAUGAUGGACUGCAGAGAUAGGCUGUAAAACUAAGCUUGACUGCGUAUCCGGGUGUUUUCUUGAGCGCCGCAUUGUUCACUGAAAGUGAAAUGCUGAUUCUAAUUGAGAGAACCACACAGGAGCAUGUUCAAAUAGCUCAUUUGGAGCCUGUGUCAUCGCUUACGGCCAUACCACCCUGAACACGCCCGAUCUCGUCCGAUCUCGGAAGCUAAGCAGGGUCGGGCCUGGUUAGUACUUGGAUGGGAGACCGCCUGGGAAUACCAGGUGCUGUAAGCUUUUCUUUCUUGUAUCUUUUGCCGUGUUCUCUCUCCAAGAGGCUAGGAUAUCGGUCUUUGGGGAGCCUGGUCUUUUGCUUGGACAAAUGCAAAUGCACUUGGAGAUGAGGCUGAACAUAAAAUGAAAGAAAAAGUCAAAAAGCACAAAGAGCGGGAGGACUGAGAUCUUGUCCUAAAGUGGAGCAAAGGAGUGGAGCAUGAUGGACUGCAGAGAUAGGCUGUAAAACUAAGCUUGACUGCGUAUCCGGGUGUUUUCUUGAGCGCCGCAUUGUUCACUGAAAGUGAAAUGCUGAUUCUAAUUGAGAGAAGCACACAGGAGCAUGUUCAAAUAGCUCAUUUGGAGCCUGUGUCAUCGCUUACGGCCAUACCACCCUGAACACGCCCGAUCUCGUCCGAUCUCGGAAGCUAAGCAGGGUCGGGCCUGGUUAGUACUUGGAUGGGAGACCGCCUGGGAAUACCAGGUGCUGUAAGCUUUUCUUUUCUUGUAUCUUGUGCCGUGUUCUCUCUCCAAGAGGCUAGGAUAUGGGUCUUUGGGGAGCCUGGUCUUUAGCUUGGACAAAUGCAAGUGCACUUGGAGAUUAGGCUGAACAUAAAAUGAAAGAAAGAGUCAAAAAGCACAAAGAGCGGGAGGACUGAGAUCUUGUCCUAAAGUGGAGCAAAGGAGUGGAGCAUGAUGGACUGCAGAGAUAGGCUGUAAAACUAAGCUUGACUGCGUAUCCGGGUGUUUUCUUGAGCGACGCAUUGUUCAUUGAAAGUGAAAUACUGAUUCUAAUUGAGAGAACCACACAGGAGCAUGUUCAAAUAGCUCAUUUGGAGCCUGUGUCAUCGCUUACGGCCAUACCACCCUGAACACGCCCGAUCUCGUCCGAUCUCGGAAGCUAAGCAGGGUCGGGCCUGGUUAGUACUUGGAUGGGAGACCGCCUGGGAAUACCAGGUGCUGUAAGCUUUUCUUUUUUUCUUGCAUCUUGUGCCGUGUUCUCUCUCCAAGAGGCUAGGAUAUGGGUCUUUGGGGAGCCUGGUCUUUUGCUUGGACCAAUGCAAGUACACUUGGAGAUUAGAGCCUUCAAGAUAAAUGAAAGAAAAAGUCAAAAAAGCACAAAGAGCGGGAGGACUGAGAUCUUGUCAUGAAGCGGAGCAAAGGAGUGGAGCAUGAUGGACUGCAGAGAUAGGCUGUAAAACUAAGCUUGACUGCGUAUCCGGGUGUUUUCUUGAGCGACGCAUUGUUCAUUGAAAGUGAAAUGCUGAUUCUAAUUGAGAGAACCACACAGGAGCACGUUCAAAUAGCUCAUUUGGAGCCUGUGUCAUCGCUUACGGCCAUACCACCCUGAACACGCCCGAUCUCGUCCGAUCUCGGAAGCUAAGCAGGGUCGGGCCUGGUUAGUACUUGGAUGGGAGACCGCCUGGGAAUACCAGGUGCUGUAAGCUUUUCUCUUUUUUCUUGCAUCUUGUGCCGUGUUCUCUCUCCAAGAGGCUAGGAUAUCGGUCUUUGGGGAGCCUGGUCUUUUGCUUGGACAAAUGCAAGUGCACUUGGAGAUUAGGCUGAACAUAAAAUGAAAGAAAAAGUCAAAAAAGCACAAAGAGCGGGAGGACUGAGAUCUUGUCAUGAAGCGGAGCAAAGGAGUGGAGCAUGAUGGACUGCAGAGAUAGGCUGUAAAACUAAGCUUGACUGCGUAUCCGGGUGUUUUCUUGAGCGACGCAUUGUUCAUUGAAAGUGAAAUGCUGAUUCUAAUUGAGAGAACCACACAGGAGCAUGUUCAAAUAGCUCAUUUGGAGCCUGUGUCAUCGCUUACGGCCAUACCACCCUGAACACGCCCGAUCUCGUCCGAUCUCGGAAGCUAAGCAGGGUCGGGCCUGGUUAGUACUUGGAUGGGAGACCGCCUGGGAAUACCAGGUGCUGUAAGCUUUUCUUUUCUUGUAUCUUGUGCCGUGUUCUCUCUCCAAGAGGCUAGGAUAUGGGUCUUUGGGGAGCCUGGUCUUUAGCU